rnacentral:tRNA from 1 species
GGAGGGGUGUCCGAGUGGCCGAAGGAGCUCGCUUGGAAAGCGAGUGUAGGGCAACCUACCGCGGGUUCGAAUCCCGCCUCCUCCGCCA